UUUAAAUUUAGAGUUUGAUCCUGGCUCAGGACGAACGCUGGCGGCGUGCUUAACACAUGCAAGUCGAGCGAUGAAACUUCCUUCGGAAAGUGGAUUAGCGGCGGACGGGUGAGUAACACGUGGGUAACCUGCCUCAAAGUGGGGGAUAGCCUUCCGAAAGGAAGAUUAAUACCGCAUAAUAUAAGAGAAUCGCAUGAUUUU
rnacentral:rRNA from 1 species